GAGGAGACCUGGCUGAAGUUGUGAAUAUGUUUAUGUGUUUUUACGUUCUUUAGGGGGAGUCUGCUGUCAGCCUUGGUUUCAGCCAGUUUAGAAGAAUGUGAACAGUAGAAGAACAUGAGUAAAUUGCAUUUAAGAGAGCAGCUAAAUGCUGAUGGCAAUUAUUUCCAGAAGAAAAAAGCAAUUUAAAGGCAGGUCUCUGUAGGACCUCUAAAGAUCACGUUUUAGCUUGGUGACAUCUUACAGAAGAGUGGCGGUUACUAGGCUCGGGUUCAUGACAGACAUUUACAUAACCAAAUGCAGGCAAAAUCCUAUCACCAAGCAUUUUGUUUCAUGCCUUAGAAUGUCAAGCCUUUCUCAUUAUUAUAUAAGCCCACGCAAGGCAGAAAAACAGAGCAUAAAACAAAAGCUGGAGUAAGCCUGCAUAGGGAGAGGAUUGCUUUGCAGUGAGGACUAGCAAAGCAAAGGAGUUAUGAGUAAAAUUAACAGUCUGAAUGUGUUGCUUUAGCCAUACAUUUGCUCUGGUGGUCACACUAGAUCUUCACGGAUGACUCCCAGGUGAAAACUUGCAUUUCAAGUCCUUUGUUGAUGCUGUGUUUUCAGAGAAUUUCUCAAGUGGCUCAGGGCAUUAGGAAAAUUAUGGACUUUUCAGUCCCUUUCCCUCAUUUACUGCCAGCAUUGUGCUAGCAGAGUACCGUCCCUGCCAGGGGAUGGGAAGACACUGAUGUCAAAUUCUCUCUUGCUAGGACAGAAUUAUACCAUGGUUUCCUUAAAUGUUUAUGGCCACUGGGUAAGCAUAGUUGACUUUAUAGUUGGUUUGGAAGAGGAGAACAAGCAGUCUCAGACCAUGAAAGGACAGGCUCUAGAGUGCCUGAUUCAAAAGAGGUGGCGUCUACUGGCACAUAAAUAGUUUCUCUCUAGUGUGGCAGAUUGCGUGCCUGUGAUUGUGCACUGCAGAGUGAGUCAGCCCUGCAGAGAAUGGAGCAGGAUGGCUCUGCAGCAGCAGCAGAUACAUGUCCAUUAGCAGUCAGUUCAGGCUAGGUAAGGUCAGGAGAUGCCUGCUGUCAGAUGCUGCAUGCAUAGACAAUGUCUUCAUAGAGCUUGCUGACCUUUCUCUUAUUUAAAUAUUUAAUACUAGCUGUGUUUUUUCCCCCAAAAAAAGGCUGCAGGUCUUUGCUUUGCUGAUCUGUUGGAGAAGCACAUCCUUGAAGUUUGGCCAGUGACUGCUUUCUAGGACUGCUUUAGUAGGUUCAAAUAUAUCUUUAAAUGAACUGCAAUAAGAUAACUCCUGUUCAGGAGAAACGCCUAUUCCUCUCCCAUAGGUAUCCAAGGGAACCCUGUGGUUGAUGCAUUACUGGAGAUGGGAAAUGAACACCGCUGACCAGAAAAGUGUAACUGUUGGUGAGAAAAGCCCAGCAGCUGGGGUGAAAGAAGGAACAAGCCAAGCAGUAAGAGCUGCAGAAAGCUGUAUGAAUGAGGAGAAAGCUGUACUUGUGGUUCAAGAUCUGGGUCCAGUUUCCAGCAUUAUUCCAGUUCCCUUGUGUGAUGUUGAACAGACUGUGUUGCAGUUCUACACUGUGAAGUGGAGCCUGCUCAAUGACCCAGUCCAGAGCCAGCUUUUUAUGGGCACUGAGGCAAUUCUGUAUAGGAUGCUGAGCUGUUCACUGGCAUUACGAAUUUUCCCCCUUCUCCCAUGAGAGUGAGUCUUCUGAUAUGAGGUGGAUUUUGCACCCAGCUUGAGCACUGAGGGAAUGGGAGUGUCUGUCAGUAUUUUCAAGUAGGUUAAUUCAGAAGAUUUUGGUAAAAACUUGCUUCAGGAUUACUGCAGUGGUCAGUGGUAAAGAGGAGUUGCAUCUCUUCAGCGUUUCUUAUUUCAGAAUCAGGAUUUCAUCAGCUCCAGCAAACCAUAGAAUGUUUGCUAACAGAAGGAUUUCAUCACCAUCAUUACAAAUGUGCUAAUCCCAUCUGGACUCCUAGCUAGCGGGGGUGAGUGAUUAUUCAGCUGAUAGGGUCAAACUUAAGAUUGUUUGAGAAAUUUCAGCCUUGAAUUUCUAAUAUGAUUUUUUUUAACUUUAACCUUCACCUGUCUUUCAGAUAAUUGCUUUAAAUUACUGUGUUGUUCUAAAAGGAAAAGUCAACUAAAUUUACUUUAAAAAUCCUCAUGGUUUAUCUUUUGAGAGCUUCCAGUUUGGGAUAAACUCAGCAAGGGAAAUUGCUCAGUAUGGGGGUGAUCACACCCCCAUGUGGAAUUACUUCUGUUUCAGUUCAGAAUAUAGUUUGGGUAGCAGUUGAGUCCUCAGUGUCUAUGAUCUGUUGGAAUAGUCUGGUUGGGUGACGUCUCUAAAAUUCCUUAACAUAUGUGUAUAGUAGGAUUUUAUCUAUGAUUGUUUAGGGAUUGUUUUUUCUUGGGAGAUCUGGUUUCCAGAGAAGCAUAGUAACCUGGAAAAGUAAAUAUGCUUUAGGAGAAUAAAAACCUCAUGAAGAGAAAUUAAUUCCAAAAGCUAAGCAAUUGUUUCAAACUACAAUGCAACAGCAGAUAUAAUAAAAAUAACUCUCAAUAAACCUUGCUUCCCUCCCAGUUUAACCACACGGAUGUUGAUUUUGUGGCCUUUUACAGUUUCCAUCUUAGCUUCCCAUAGAAAACCUCACUGUUCUACAGGUGAGAUUACCUGUGUCUGACAUACAGGGAUUUACCACUUGUACUCUUAGUAUACCUCUUUCUUAGAAUCGAUAAGGUUGAAAGGGACCUCUGGAGAUCAUCUAGUCCAACCCCCCUGCUCAAGCAGGGUCAGCUCUGCAGGUAUGAACCAUCUCUUUCUCCUGAUACAAUAAACAAAAGAGGAAUUCUUCCCAGUGCCAUUUACUCUGGAACAUGACUUUUUCUGUUUCAAAGUCAAAAGGAUUGUGUUCCCAUCUCUGUUUUUGUUACUGUCACUCACUAAUAAAUGCUGUUAUCUUUCUCUACAA